AUACAGUUGUGCUCGUAAGUUUACAUACCCUAGCAGAAUUUAUGAUUUCUUGGCCAUUUUUCAGAGAAUAUGAAUGAUAACACAAAAACUUUUAUUUCACUCAUGGUUAGUGGUUGAUACCACUGCUUUCC